UGGAUAGAUUAUUGUAUUCGACUGUAUUCACGGCAUGAAACAGGGGAUUACACUGUUUUUAAACGGAAAGUGAAUCAAUUAACAUAAUAGACUCCU
rnacentral:pre_miRNA from 1 species